rnacentral:rRNA from 1 species
UACAGAGGGUGCGAGCGUUGUUCGGAAUUACUGGGCGUAAAGCGCGCGCAGGCGGCUCUUCAAGUCAGGGGUGAAAGCCCAGAGCUCAACUCUGGAACUGCCUUUGAGACUGUAGAGCUUGAGUACGGGAGAGGUGAGUGGAAUUCCCAGUGUAGAGGUGAAAUUCGUAAAUAUUGGGAAGAACACCGGUAGCGAAGGCGGCUCACUGGCCCGUUACUGACGCUCAGGCGCGACAGCGUGGGGAUCAAACAGG